rnacentral:tRNA from 1 species
UGGAGAGGUGGCCGAGUCGGUCGAAGGCAGCCGCCUGCUAAGCGGUUGUGGGGUCAAAAGCUCCACCCAGGGUUCGAAUCCCUGCCUCUCCGUUUU